rfam:Haemonchus placei strain MHpl1 genome assembly, scaffold: HPLM_scaffold0000523
GGCGCAAACUUGAAGUAGAGUAGACUAGUAUGGUCAGCUGAUCCUACCAAUCUACUUCGAAUUUGGGCCC